UAUGACACUGAAGCGAGUUAG
rnacentral:miRNA from 1 species